AUUGAACGCUGGCGGCAUGCCUUACACAUGCAAGUCGGACGGCAGCGGGGGAGAAGCUUGCUUUUCCUGCCGGCGAGUGGCGAACGGGUGAGUAAUACAUCGGAACGUGCCUUGUAGUGGGGGAUAACUAGUCGAAAGAUUAGCUAAUACCGCAUACGACCUGAGGGUGAAAGUGGGGGACCGCAAGGCCUCAUGCUAUAGGAGCGGCCGAUGUCUGAUUAGCUAGUUGGUGGGGUAAAGGCCUACCAAGGCGACGAUCAGUAGCUGGUCUGAGAGGACGAUCAGCCACACUGGGACUGAGACACGGCCCAGACUCCUACGGGAGGCAGCAGUGGGGAAUUUUGGACAAUGGGCGAAAGCCUGAUCCAGCAAUGCCGCGUGUGUGAAGAAGGCCUUCGGGUUGUAGAGCACUUUUGUCCGGAAAGAAAUGGCUCUGGUUAAUACCUGGGGUCGAUGACGGUACCGGAAGAAUAAGGACCGGCUAACUACGUGCCAGCCGCCGCGGUAAAAC
rnacentral:rRNA from 1 species